rnacentral:rRNA from 1 species
CACGCCGUAAACGUUGAGAACUAAGUGUUGGGGAGACCCAGUGCUGAAGCUAACGCAUUAAGUUCUCCGCCUGAGGAGUACGCACGCAAGUGUAAAACUUAAAGGAAUUGACGGGGGCCCGCACAAGCGGUGGAGCAUGUGGUUUAAUUCGAAGCAACGCGAAGAACCUUACCAGGUCUUGACAUCCCUUGACAGCCUCAGAGAUGAGGUAUCUCUUCGGAGCAAGGAGACAGGUGG